rnacentral:rRNA from 1 species
UACGGAGGGUGCGAGCGUUAAUCGGAAUUACUGGGCGUAAAGCGUGCGUAGGUGGUUGAUUAAGUUAUCUGUGAAAUUUCUGGGCUUAACCUGGACAGGUCAGAUGAUACUGAUUGACUCGAGUAUGGGAGAGGGUAGUGGAAUUUCCGGUGUAGCGGUGAAAUGCGUAGAGAUCGGAAGGAACACCAGUGGCGAAGGCGGCUACCUGGUCUAAUACUGACACUGAGGCACGAAAGCGUGGGGGAGCAAACAGG